rnacentral:rRNA from 1 species
AUUUCGGUUAUCGAUGGGGAUGCGUUCCAUUAGAUAGUUGGCGGGGUAACGGCCCACCAAGUCAACGAUGGAUAGGGGUUCUGAGAGGAAGGUCCCCCACAUUGGAACUGAGACACGGUCCAAACUCCUACGGGAGGCAGCAGUGAGGAAUAUUGGUCAAUGGGCGAGAGUCUGAACCAGCCAAGUAGCGUGAAGGAUGACUGCCCUAUGGGUUGUAAACUUCUUUAUACGGGAAUAAAGUGGAGUAUGCAUACUCCUUUGUAUGUACCGUAUGAAUAAGGAUCGGCUAACUCCGUGCCAGCAGCCGCGGUAAUACGGAGGAUCCGAGCGUUAUCCGGAUUUAUUGGGUUUAAAGGGAGCGUAGGCGGGUGCUUAAGUCAGUUGUGAAAGUUUGCGGCUCAACCGUAAAAUUGCAGUUGAUACUGGGCGCCUUGAGUGCAGCAUAGGUAGGCGGAAUUCGUGGUGUAGCGGUGAAAUGCUUAGAUAUCACGAAGAACUCCGAUUGCGAAGGCAGCUUACUGGACUGUAACUGACGCUGAUGCUCGAAAGUGUGGGUAUCAAACAGGAUUAGAUACCCUGGUAGUCCACACAGUAAACGAUGAAUACUCGCUGUUGGCGAUACACAGUCAGCGGCCAAGCGAAAGCAUUAAGUAUUCCACCUGGGGAGUACGCCGGCGACGGUGCAACUCAAAGGAAUUGACGGA